rnacentral:rRNA from 1 species
AUACGGAGGAUGCAAGCGUUAUCCGGAUUUAUUGGGUUUAAAGGGUGCGUAGGCGGUUUGCUAAGCGGGAGGUGAAAUGCCGGCGCUCAACGUCGGAAGUGCCUCCCGAACUGGUGGACUUGAAUGACUCUGCCGUGGGAGGAAUGUGUAGUGUAGCGGUGAAAUGCUUAGAGAUUACACAGAACACCGAUUGCGAAGGCAUCUCACGAAGGGUUGAUUGACGCUGAGGCACGAAAGCGUGGGGAUCAAACAGGAUUAGAUACCCUGGUAGUCCACGCAGUAAACGAUGAUGGCUAACCGCUGGUUUUUUCGGAUCAGUGGCCAAGCGAAAGCGAUAAGCCAUCCACCUGGGGAGUACGACCGCAAGGUUGAAACUCAAAUGAAUUGACGGGG